CGUGGAUUGUCUACGACAGUAUAACGAGCACCACAAACCCGGGUUUGUUUAGAGUUUGCUCUCCUAGGCAGAUUGCCUACCACGGCUGACGACCUCCACCUGCCCGGGUUUAUUGUUCGGAGUUUGCUCUCCUAGGCAGAUUGCCUACCACGGCUGACGACCUCCACCUGGCCGGGUUUAUUGUUCGGAGUUUGCUCUCCUAGGCAGAUUGCCUACCACGACUGACGACCUCCACCUGCCCGGGUUUAUUGUUCGGAGUUUGCUCUCCUAGGUGAACUGCCUACCACGGCUGACGACCUCCACCUGGCCGGGUUUAUUGUUCGGAGUUUGCUCUCCUAGGCAGAUUGCCUACCACGGCUGACGACCUCCACCUGGCCGGGUUUAUUGUUCGGAGUUUGCUCUCCUAGGUAAAAUGCUCACGCUAACGAGCUCCACCUGCCCGUGUUUUUAGCUCGGAGUUUGCUCUCCUAGGUGAACUGCUCACGCUAACGAGCUCCACCUGCCCGGGUUUGUUGUUCGGAGUUUGCUCUCCUAGGUGAAUUGCCUACCACGGCUAACGAGCCCCACCUGCCCGGGUUUGUUUAGAGUUUCCUCUCCUAGGUGAACUGCCUACCACGGCUAACGAGCCUCACCUGCCCGGGUUUGUUUAGAGUUUGCUCUCCUAGGUGAAUUACCUCCCACGGUUAACGAGCCUCACCUGCCCGGGUUUGUUUAGAGUUUGCUCUCCUAGGUGAAUUGCCUCCCACGGCUAACGACCUCCACCUGCCCGGGUUUGUUUAGAGUUUGCUCUCCUAGGUGAAUUGCCUCCCACGGCUAACGACCUCCACCUGCCCGGGUUUGUUUAGAGUUUGCUCUCCUAGGUGAAUUGCCUCCCACGGCUAACGACCUCCACCUGCCCGGGUUUGUUUAGAGUUUGCUCUCCUAGGUGAACUGCCUACCACGGCUAACGAGCCUCACCUGCCCGGGUUUGUUUAGAGUUUGCUCUCCUAGGUGAAUUGCCUCCCACGGCUAACGACCUCCACCUGCC